GUGCUCGCUUCGGCAGCACAUAUACUAAAAUUGGAACGAUACAGAGAUUAGCAUGGCCCCUGCACAAUGAUGACACACAAAUUUGUGAAGUGUUCCAUAGUUUU